rnacentral:misc_RNA from 1 species
ACACCUCAACUCUCAUGGUUUGCCAUGACGAGCUUGGACUUUGGGGGUCUUGCUGGCCUGUUGGUCGGCUCCUCUCAAAUGAAUCAGCUUGCCAGUGUUUGGUGGCAUCACAGGUGUGAUAACUAUCUACGCUUGUCGCUGUCCGCCAGGUAACCUUCAGCGAUGGAGGUUCGCUGGAGCUCAUAGACGUCUCUCCUCAGCGAGGACAGCUUUUGAACGU